AGUGCGUCUUAAGCAUGCAAGUCAAACGGGAUGUAGCAAUACAUCUAGUGGCGAACGGGUGAGUAACGCGUGGAUGAUCUACCUACGAGAUGGGGAUAACUAUUAGAAAUAGUAGCUAAUACCGAAUAAAGUCAAUUAAUUUGUUAAUUGAUGAAAGGAAGCCUUUAAAGCUUCGCUUGUAGAUGAGUCUGCGUCUUAUUAGCUAGUUGGUAGGGUAAAUGCCUACCAAGGCGAUGAUAAGUAACCGGCCUGAGAGGGUGAACGGUCACACUGGAACUGAGAUACGGUCCAGACUCCUACGGGAGGCAGCAGCUAAGAAUCUUCCGCAAUGGGCGAAAGCCUGACGGAGCGACACUGCGUGAAUGAAGAAGGUCGAAAGAUUGUAAAAUUCUUUUAUAAAUGAGGAAUAAGCUUUGUAGGAAAUGACAAAGUGAUGACGUUAAUUUAUGAAUAAGCCCCGGCUAAUUACGUGCCAGCAGCCGCGGUAAUACGUAAGGGGCGAGCGUUGUUCGGGAUUAUUGGGCGUAAAGGGUGAGUAGGCGGAUAUAUAAGUCUAUGCAUAAAAUACCACAGCUCAACUGUGGAACUAUGUUGGAAACUAUAUGUCUAGAGUCUGAUAGAGGAAGUUAGAAUUUCUGGU
rnacentral:rRNA from 1 species